ACAGCGGUGGGAUUACACCAGAAUGCUCGGCCGUUACUGGAGGGCUCCCAGGCUGUGCGGAGCCUAGUAAGUCAGAGGAGGAAAGGGGACCAAAUCAAGGAGCAGAGAAAUUACGUGCAGCAUGGGUUUUGGACAAUGAAAACCUUUUAUCUUCACUCUACGAUGUGCUUUCCGGGUGGGAGAUUCUACAGGCAGAAAUAGGGUGCACUGUGUUUGCAUCAUCGCGGUGAGCCUGCUAAGCUUGCCACCUUGACCUUCCUUUCUUGAAAAUCAAACCACACCCAUCUUCAGUAAGAUGAAAAAAGACAGCUAAGAUUCUGGACAGCGCAAUCACAGCUUUUCAGAGAACUGAAAGGAGCUAUUUUUAUAGAGGGCACGAGGUCAAGAAUGUUUAGCAAACAAAUUGAAUGUCAUCUACUCGCAGAGAAUUCUCCAAGGACCUUCCUUCUCCCAGGCCCUUGUGGAAAGUGAGGGCACCUCUGAGAGGCGGGUGCAAUGAUGUUUUUCCUUGUUUCAGAAUUGAUCUUUGGUAUAGAAGAACAUUUUUAUGUUAAUAUAAAUCCAAAAGAAUCCCACCAUAAAAUAUCGACACAGCCAAAGCUUUCCUUCUUCCACGACUACUUCUAAGACUCUGAGCAUCCACACUUCCUUUAAGGUUAGGUCUGCUGGGGCAGCUACCAUUGUGUCACAGUGGAAAACUUCCUCAUAGGAUUUAACCUGAUGGAACUAAAUAGAGAUUAAAAAGCAGAGGAUUUUUUUAAAGUAUAAGUCAAAUGGCCUUUGUACAAGCUAAUGGGCAUUUGACUAUUUGGAAAGAUGAUUGACAGCCAUUGAUUUCUCUCUUCCUUUUUAAUUUUGGCUUCAUGACUGAGAGACUACCACAAAGGAUAUUUACUGGUGACAUAUUAGAACACAGCCACCCAGCGGUUCGACUUGUUUGUAUAAUUCCUUUAAUCUAUGUUGUUGCCACUGUCAUCCUGUUUAGCUGUGAUGUCCCCUCAUUACAAAGAAGAUACCUACAAUGAGUGGAUAAUGGGAGCUAUGCUCUCUCAAAGCACCCAAUGAAAGAACAUAUUACAAGUCUUUCAGAGCUCUGCGAAAUUAUUGCAUCUGAUGGCUUUGACAGUGCCAUCCUUAAGGCUCUAGUCUAAAUAAUAUUUAGUCAGUGCUUUAAAGAAAAUAAAAACGUCCUGUUCAAUUAGAUUCUUCGUGAAUUCAAAUGAUUUUUACUAGAACAAAAGGAAACAAAAAGAAGAAAGAAGAUUCUGUUUUACAAAACAAUGAAGACUCAAGAGUUAGGCAUAGAGUAUACCUAAAUGUUGAAACAGAGAGUAUGAAAAGAAGACUUUGCGAGUAUUUUAACACAUGAGAAGUUUGAGAGUCUGUCUACCUGCUGCAUCUUCAGAGAAAAACAAGCCAUCAUCACUGCUGGAAAGCUCCCACCACUGCAUAUACUCAACAGCCCCUGAAUAAUGGUUAAUCAUCUCAGCCUUCACUAGUUCUCUGAGGGACAGACAAAGGGAGGCAAGAGUUUCAACCAGAAUCUGCAUGUGUUAAGUCUUUUGGAGUUGUUGCUAAGUGGGGUUACGUAGACCUUCAUAAACAUUAUAGGCUAUUACCGUUGUUCAUGGUCAUCUUCCAGAACUGGUUAGCAAGAUCAUAUUGCUAAAACCAUUACAUGCUUGCAUUGUCUAACAUGUUGGAAUCAAGCUGUUAGGAACCUCUGUGCUUCAUCUCUAUUGGAUGUUUCAUGGUGCUAGACAGUGGUAUACAAGUUAGCAGAGGAGAAAAGGUAUCAUCGUCCUUAUUGAAAAUGACAUUUUUUUUUACUAAUUUUUAUUAAUUUACUCAUUUUGGACAUGAGUGUUGAAUGUUUGACAGCAAUGUAAGCAGAAUCUUGACAAAGACUUGUAUUGUUCUCUAAAGUUCCUGACGCCUGCACCUUUAUAAUCAGGACUGCCCAGUUCUACCAUCUCAAUAGUUGUGUAUGUGUUUUAUGUUUUGAAGUUUUGCCUUUUCCAGAAUCUACUUUGUCUCUGGUAUAAAGUAGCAUCAUGGGAUGGCCCCCUGGGUGCAUUUGUUUCCCCUAGGAUAAUACUUGAGAUCCAUUCUUAUUGCAUUUGCUGGUAAUUUCUCUGCUCUAUGGAGUGCUAUGCUCUACCAUGUCAUGAUUUGUUUAUCAUUUACAGUUAAUGGGUAUUUGGGUUGUAUCCACUUUUUUGUUGGUGAUUAUGAAUAUCUGUUUGUUAACAUUGGUUCAUUUGUAUAUAGGAAUGUGUGAGUUUUAUUUCUCUUGGGUACAUAUCUAAGGAGAAAAUAACUGGAUAAACUAGUGUAGUGUUUGACUUUUUGCUUUUAACAGUCUGGUCUUAGUUUUAGAAUGAUUUUUACAGUUUUAUAUCUCAAUAUUGCCACAGAACUUGUCUUUGAUUUCAGUCCUUUAUUUAAUCUAUUCUGAUAUGAUGGAGUUGGUAUCUUAAUGUGGUCCAAACUAUAGUUUCCCUAAUGACUAAUAAAAUGUACCAGCUUUUAGUGU
rnacentral:lncRNA from 1 species